ensembl:lncRNA
UUUUUUUUUUUUUUUUUUUGUCCUGUUUGCUUUUUAUUUCGUAAAUUUGAGUCUGGAUGCUUUGCUGUUGAGUCUCUGUUUGAGAAUAGAAGCUUCCCAGGAAGCCAGCAACCAAGGAAGCAAAUACUGAUCAAGAAUAAAAGUGUUUUUCAUACACACCAAAAAAUUAGUUGAUACUUGGCAAGAUGUUUGCUACUGAGAAGUGGAUGCUGUAUUCAAGUUGGUGAGGUUUGAGACCGCCUGGCACAUGUCUCAGUCAUAGAAGUUCUUGGAUAAAACAAAAAGGUUUGACAUAACCAAUUUUUAUAAAAGGCAAAACAAGCAGAAGAAAAAAAAAAAAAGUGGUUUAAGGGGGAACCCCCUUGGGCUCAUAUAAGAUGUGGACAAGCUGGGGGCAUGAAGGUGUUUGGUGAGCUGGAGGUGCCCAUUUGCAAUCAAUCAUGUACUACCUGGAAUCUCUUAGAUAAAUGGCUAUUUUUUUCCCCCUAAAGUUUAAGUUUGUUCUCAGGCUUACAAAAACAGGCAGAAACAUGUCUGUCUGUCUGAGAAUGUGUUCUGUUACCACAGGUGACCUGUAACAGAGGAACCACUGAGAUGAAAACCUGAGCUCUAAAAUGGGAUGGAUCCAUCACCUUUGCUGUCUGUGCUAUGAGUUGGUUGGUUGGGAGGCCAGAGCCUUGGAGUGCUCAGCAACAUAAGGAUGUGGUAAUGAGUCCAAGCUCGAGUUAAAAUCCACACUGUUCUGUUCGGGGAUAUUUUUAUUUUUUAAAAUGAUGCCUGUAGAUUUUAGGAGACUUACAGAAAAUUGUGUGGGAUUAAAAAUGCUACAUUUUAAAGUUUCUUUAGAUUUGCAGGUGGUUUUUUAUUGUUGUUCUCAUAGCAAGCAAGUGAACAAACUCGUGGGAGAACCAGAUUUGUCUUGCACCAAUUAGUGUGACCCAGCAACUCACUUGCUGAGGGUUGCCAAAAGCCCUUCUAAAACUCCUCUCAGGUAUGAUUGGUGUCACGACCUAUUUAGCAGGGAGCAUAAGUCAGCCUAAUGAUGCUUUCAUUUUUCACUUUUUAACCCUGCAGGGACAUCAUCAGCUGAUGAUGGGUUAUUAAUAUCAAAAAGUGUGGGUUGGUUUGUUGGAAUGGGGGAUAAUGCAUCUUCUGUGAAGGCACGGAUCAGAGGGGAACUGAAUGCUCCACUGGGAAGAGCAGGGAUUCGGGAAUGUGCUGUGGGAGCAGAGGAGCAGCUCCACUGCCCGAGCAGCCAGGCUGCCCUGGUGGCACUGGACUGCCCCGUUUCACACGGUUAUAGGGACACCGACUAGUCCCCUGCGCUGCCCUAAGGCAGACGGUGCAAAUGUCAACAAUUGUAAUGGUUAGGUGUUAUCUGAAACCAAGUGCCACUAAAUACCCCCGGCGGCCGGUCCUAGAGCGAUUAGAGCCUUUUAUGGGAGUAUCCUGCCUUGGAGGUCUUGAGGCAGGACAAGUGAAAUGCCCACCUGGCUGAUGGUGGCAGGGAGGUGCAGCUCCUGGUGCUGUGCCGUGGCCUGUGUGUGUUACGGUGUGUGAAUGUUAGGAAGGGGAAGGGAAAAAAAAACCAACAAGUAAAUUAUAAAAGAUGCAACUGUUUGCUGGCAAAGCCAAGGAACAGCCCAAAAUCCCCCAUCUCCCAUUUUCCUUGUGAAACAAGUAAAUAGUUAUGUAGGGUUGUUUAGAAGACAAAGGUUAGGUGAGAAUUUGAAUUAUGAGAUUUCUCUUCCCAGAGAGGUGGCUGAUGGUUUUAAGCAUGUGAGACCAACAAUCUCCCUCCUACCAAAAUCAGCAGUUGUAAAGGAGAAGUUGGAGGGUUAUGGAAAAAACACCAGGGAGAGAAGCAGCAGAAUCCAUCUAUCUGACACAACAACCUGAGCCUUCCCUGCUCCCCAGCAGGCAAGGGAGCCACACCAUGGAUUUAACACACUGUGCCAAGGACAAAGCCCCAUCCCCUCCCUUCACAGAUGCAUCCAGGCUGAUUCCAAGAGAAACAGGCCUGAGAAAGGGCUGGCAGUUACAGCAAAAUUACUCAGCAUCUUACAGCAUCAAAGGCUUGGGCCUUACACUGGUUUGGGCAGCAGUUCUGGGGAGAAGAUAUGGGGGUGGGAGGCCUGAGCCCCUCGGUGAUGCUGAAAGGUGCUGGGUAAGGCAGUGCGGGGGAUUAUUUUUGGGAGGAUGGUGCCUUUUAGCCCAGUACAGUGGGGCAGUAGGGUGAUCAUGGCAGGGUAAUGGUGUCUGGCUCCUCAAAGGGGGAACAGGGUGUGUGACGGUGGAUGGGUUGGUCUGAGAGUGUUCGUGCUUAGUCUGAGGUAACCCAUCUUUUAUUCUAAACACCUGUUCAGCAAACAUUCUGUCUUACAAGGCCUUUUUAACAGCAGUUGCUGGCUGUCCUUUCUACUGAAACAGGGAUGAGAGCAAGCCCUGAGCAGCGCUGAGGAGCCUCAUUCAUAACCCUCAGCGACACUUGGUGAGGUUUGCACCCUGCUCUCCCAGCCUGGGGGAGGUUUUUAACCCCAGCCCUGCAGGGAUGUGCUGCUCCCUCCCACCGUGCUGGCAGGGCAUUGCCCAGGCUGUGCUCCAUGGAUGGGUGCUGCAGUGCACCAAGAGGGCCAAGCAGGUGACAGGAGGGUGCAGGCUGUGCUGGGCUCAUCUCUCACAGCAUGGCAGGAAACAGCAUCGUCCCUGCUCCCCUCUGGUGCAGAGGUAGGAGUAUGUCUUAGACAGCUGGCAGGACAUUUAAAUCUCCUUCCACCCCCUACACCAGGGUCUGUAACUGCUGCAUAGAAGAAAUACUGUAUGGCUCCACAUCAGCCACGUGCUGUGAGUAUUCCAGAAGAUUAUAGGAGUCUUUCCAAGCAACAUGCUUUUAGAUAAAUUAAAUCAUGAUGCCAGGGUGGCAGGUGAUUUUCCAAAUGCUGAGAAUUCUCCGAAUCCCAAGUAGCUGCAGAAUUAUAGCCUGACAAAAACAAAAUAAUCCCUUCCAGUCACCAGUUCUGAACUCCACUUUGCACCCAGGCUGGUGCAGUCACCUGUUCCCCAGAACAAAGGCAGUAGCAUGGGGUGCAGGCAAGCUUCUCCAGACGUGUAUUUAACUUCAGAGAGGCCAGGCCUGCCCAGGACAGGGGCUGGGGGAGUUGCUUCUGCAAUUAUGGGGGUGACCUGCAGGUCCACAGGGUAAGGCCCAAACCCACUCCCUUUGGUUCAGCGCAGUCAGGGCAGGUGUGGGAGGGGAGGGAGGCUCAUAUACUUACAGCAUCUCAGGUUCAAGUCAAAUGCACACACAGGAGCUCCAUCCCAGGUGUUUUGUUUGUCUCACAAAACUAACUGGCAAAUUCCUCUGAAACAGCCAGGCCCAAACCAGCAGCAGAUGCAGCCAAUUACAGCUGGGGUUUAACGCCAGAACAAGAUAUGGACAUCUGGCACUGCAUCUCCCUGGGAGAAGUAGCUGACUACAUGCUUUAUUUUUUUUUCUCCUCCUGAGCUGCACAUUUUCUACGGUGAAGUUGGGUGGGGUAGUUUCUGAUAAGGCAGAGGCUACUUCCACAGCUGUUGGGUGGCAGAUUCUGUUUUCAAUCCUUUCAUUUAAUCAGCUGCUCCAAUUGCUGAUCUUAAAAUGCUGUAGUAGUCACUUGUUCAUCUUUAUCAACUGUGUAGGGUACAAUUAUCCAUUACAAGUUGCAGCAGAACCUUUGUUUUUAAUUAUUAACAAGCAGCCCUGGGUAAGUGCAUUAAGUAGACGCAAUGCUGGAGGGAAAAAACGCUAUCCCUUCUUUCAGUUAAAAAGGAAAUCCUUCCUCUUCAAGCAGUAAGACUUUGAGCCUUAGUUGAAAUGACCAGUUCUUGGUGGAAAAGUGGUUGUAGUGUCAAGGAGUGAGAAGUCUCCAGUUCCCUGUUCUGCCUCAAACCCUAUUCUGAAAGUGGCCAAAACAGAGAGAGGGUUAAAAGGUGAGUGGAUGUUAUCUGAGCACCUGGGAAUGAAGAGCCCAGCCCUGGCCUGGGCCAGGCAAGCAGUGAGCACAUUCACCUGCCAGCUCUGAGCACGGGCCCAGGCUGUGCAGUUGGCUGCUGCACUGAAGUCAA